UGCAUAUAAAGAGGCUCGCCAGAUGCGGUUUUAAUACAAGGUCAAAGGGGCUAGGCCAACGUGUGGGCUUGCAUGGCAGAUGGGAAACAACUGUAAUUGGCAGAGCAUGUUAAUAAAAGGGUUAAUUAGAAGAGGCACGAGCCCAGCUGUGGACGUUGACAUGAGUGUCUGGAGAAAGGAGGUCAGUGAAGGCAAGACAGGGAGGACUACACAAGCCAAGGCAAAGCAAGGCAAGGCAAGGCAAAGCAAAGCAAAGUGUGCUUAUUCGCGCUAUAAUAAUGCGGAAUGGAGCUCACUCUCUGCACACAGAUCUACAUAUCGAUGCUGCUAAGCUCUUCUCGCGUGGGUGGCUGAAUGAGAGUAAAUCUAAAAAUAACUUCCUGGCAACACGUACUGCCACCCACGCUCCAUGCCCCUAGUGCCCACGCGUCGCUUCUAUGUCUUUGUGUUUGCGGCUGGCUGAGCAGGGAGCUUGGGACUUACCCGAAACCAAAUCCCUCAAAUGCCACAUAUCAAAUCCGUAAAAUUACCGCGUUCUGAUGCUUGCCUAAUGGCACCCGUUGCACACACACACACACACAUGCACACACACCCACUACUAGAGCGCGAUGAAGCAUAAUAAUAUUCGGUUUCCAUUUAAUUUUGGCUAUCGAUAAAGCUACGCCACGAAGACUACAAAUUUUUAUUUUAUUUAUAAGCCAAGCAAACGACAAUACUCAAUCCAUAUUGCACAGAGCUAUCGCCAGCCAAUAAACCGAUUCCAAGUGAUCCAUAUACUGAGGCCUUCAUAAACUGUUACGAUUUGCAAGUCAAUAGGAGGCAGCUGGGACAACGUGCACAGACAACCAUCAGAUCAUUUUCCAUCAUUAUGUACAGCUGAAUAAAUGGUUUAUUAAUAUUAUUAGCAUUA